rnacentral:rRNA from 1 species
AGAGUUUGAUUCUGGCUCAGAACGAACGUUGGCGGCGUGGAUGAGGCAUGCAAGUCGAACGCGAAAGCCGCAAGGUGAGUAGAGUGGCGGACGGGCGAGUAACACGUAAUCAAGCUGCCUGCGAGACGGGGAUAACCUCGGGAAACCGAGGCUAAGACCCGAUGGCCUUCCUGGACCGCAUGGUUUGGGAAGUAAAUGGGCGGGAUCCUUCGGGAUCGCCUGCUCGCAGAGGUGAUUGCGUCCCAUCAGCUAGUUGGUAGGGUAACGGCCUACCAAGGCAACGACGGGUAGCCGGCCUUAGAGGGUGGUCGGCCGCACUGGGACUGAGACACUGCCCAGACUCCUACGGGAGGCUGCAGUCGAGAAUCUUCCGCAAUGGGCGCAAGCCUGACGGAGCGACGCCGCGUGGAGGACGAAGGCCUUCGGGUUGUAAACUCCUGUCACGAGUUAAGAAGGUGCUAUCACGAACAGUGGUAGUAUUUGACGUAAGCUCGAGAGGAAGCACUGGCUAACUCUGUGCCAGCAGCCGCGGUAAUACAGAGAGUGCAAACGUUGUUCGGAAUUACUGGGCUUGAAGCGCACGUAGGCGGCAUCGUAAGUGUCGGGUGAAAUCCCACGGCUCACCCGUGGAACUGCCCGGCAUACUGCGAUGCUCGAGUGUGGUAGGGAAGAGCGGAACUCCUGGUGGAGCGGUGAAAUGCGUAGAUAUCAGGAGGAACACCGGUGGCGAAGGCGGCUCUUUGGUCCACAACUGACGCUGAGGUGCGAAAGCCAGGGGAGCAAACGGGAUUAGAUACCCCGGUAGUCCUGGCCGUAAACGAUGGGCACUAGCUUGGGGUCUCCCUGUGUGAUCCCAGGUGAAGUAAAAAUGAUAAGUGCCCCGCCUGGGGAGUAUGGUCGGAAGACUGAAACUCAAAGGAAUUGACGG